rnacentral:rRNA from 1 species
UACGAAGGGGGCUAGCGUUGCUCGGAAUCACUGGGCGUAAAGCGCACGUAGGCGGACUUUUAAGUCAGGGGUGAAAUCCUGGAGCUCAACUCCAGAACUGCCCUUUGAUACUGGAAGUCUUGAGUUCGAGAGAGGUGAGUGGAACUGCGAGUGUAGAGGUGAAAUUCGUAGAUAUUCGCAAGAACACCAGUGGCGAAGGCGGCUCACUGGCUCGAUACUGACGCUGAGGUGCGAAAGCGUGGGGAGCAAACAGG